GACGAACGCUGGCGGUGUGCUUAACACAUGCGAGUCGAACGGUAAGGCCCUUUCGGGGGUACACGAGUGGCGAACGGGUGAGUAACACGUGAGUAACCUGCCCUCAUCUCUGGGAUAACAGUCGGAAACGGUUGCUAAUACUGGAUAUGAGCUUGCAAGGCAUCUUGUGGGUUGGAAAGAUUUUUUUGGUUGGGGAUGGACUCGCGGCCUAUCAGCUUGUUGGUGAGGUAGUGGCUCACCAAGGCUUCGACGGGUAGCCGGCCUGAGAGGGCGACCGGCCACAUUGGGACUGAGAUACGGCCCAAACUCCUACGGGAGGCAGCAGUGGGGAAUAUUGCACAAUGGACGGAAGUCUGAUGCAGCAACGCCGCGUGCGGGAUGACGGCCUUCGGGUUGUAAACCGCUUUCAAUUGUGACGAAGCUUUUUGUGACGGUAGCAGUAGAAGAAGCACCGGCUAACUACGU
rnacentral:rRNA from 1 species